CUUCAAUCAUUGAAUUAUUGAACUAUCCAAUGUAGAUGAUGGUUCAAUUUUGUUGGAGAAUAUUUUUUAUUCCAUCUUGUGGGAUUUCCUUGGGUGAUAACAUUUGGUAGAUGAAAAUGAUUUUACCAUCUAUUUAUUUCGGUGAACUUUUCUCUCGCUUCAUCUUGACCUGCCUCAACAGGAGGAGCGACCCGCUCAACCCCCUCAACGACUGCACUAGUGCUCGUGCCAGUGACUAGGAAAUGGUCCACCGUCGACGUCCUCUUCGAUGGCCGAGCAUCAGUGCUGUCAGAAGAAAUGCAGGAAACCAAAAGCCAUCCAAAGCUAGAAGAUAAGGAAAAGGAAAGCGCAAAGCCUUUAGCUCUAUUUAUAGGGUUUACUGGGCACGAAAAUCAAGGGAGAGUUGAUUAUUGAUUAAUUAUCUCAAUUUUUGUGUCUUUUACUGCUUAAAUAAUUUUUCUGUCCUUCUCAUAGCUAUCGCCAUGAAGGAGCAAAAAAAUCGGGUAACUAAUAUGCAUACUACAAAUAUGCCAACACAAAUUUCGAGGAAAUCGGAUGAUCAACAACAAAGGAGCACAAGUGAGGUGUCGGAUGGUAGAAUAGAUAACUCAACAAUAAAUAGUCAACCGACUUUAUAGUUUAGUCGAUCGACAUAACAAAUCAAAGGAAUCUUUUUAGCGAAAUUUGUCGACCGACAAAGUUACCAAUCACGAGACUGCUAGCAAAGGUCCGCACACCAUGUUUAAACCCAAUUGCCAAGAAGAUGCAAUUGACCGACACAAUCGAUUGAUAGCAACACAGUCAGCCGACCUCAAGGCUUUAGGCAUUGACCACGUGUCGCCUUUAUUUUUAUUACCAUGUAAUUUGAAUUUAAUCUUUCAGACAGUUAUAAAAAGUGUGCUUUCCUUACCUGUACUUGUAUUCCUGGACGCCUCUAUAAAUAAGAGGUCAUGAAAUCAAUAAAGGACCUUUUUGGAUCCUCUCGACAAAAUUCUGCAUUUGAAGAUUCUCUUACAUUCCUUUGCUUUCUCUCCUUUUCUUCUUCUCUCUCACUUUUUCUCUCUCGGUUCUAACUCUCGGGGCGUGUUCUGCAAGAAGACAAUUUAGGAUUCAACAUAUCCUAAAUUUUUUUAUAUGAUAAAUUUAAACCAUUGUAUCACUCUCUAAUUUGUAUUAGUAGUCAUGCAAUAGUAAUUAUAAGGUAGAUACUCAAUUCCACAGGGUUCAUAUUGUUUUGCUCCAAUUGAACUAUAAGCAAGGCAUUGUUUCCAACGGUUCAUUACAUUUGAUCAUUUGUUGUGCACAAUACAUUUAUUUAAUUGGUAUAAAUGGAGAUUCAAACGGUAAAAUGUUUCUUCACAGUUCCCAAAUAGGGUGAUAACUAGAUGGUCAAAUACUUUGACAAGAUUUAAUAUUUUUUUUCUAUUUAUUUCAUUGAAUUUCUACUCUAGAUUUUGUUUGAGAACCUAGAAGAGUUGACAGCUUUUGGGCCGGCAUCGAGAUUAUGCUUUCCUCGUGUCUACUAAACAAGAUAAUCCUAAAUUUGGGUAUUGCGGUUGGG